rnacentral:lncRNA from 1 species
GGGCCGCCCCGCCACUCCUCCCAGUGGUGGUCCUGGCGGUCUCGCUGCCAGGUCGGCGCCGAGGACUAAAUGCAGGGGACGAGCCGACGGGUCGCGAGGGGCAGGCACGUCGCGGGACUGGGGAGCCGGCGGAGGACGUGCCACCAGUUCCGCAUGUAGAGCAGCCUCCCGGUCUACGUCAAGAGGGCCCAAGCGCGCAGCAUCCGGCGGCGGAUAUCCCCCGGCGAGCCUGGCAGGGGCAAUCGAGGGUCCCGCGCAGGAUCCCGAGGAGGUGGAGGGCGGCGCAGGGAGGUGCCCGCAUAGUACUCAGGCGGCCUUCCCGACCGGUCUGAGCCACCCCGCCCAGAGCGCGAC